rnacentral:rRNA from 1 species
CUGGAGGUAUCAGAAGUGCGAAUGCUGACAUAAGUAACGAUAAAGCGGGUGAAAAGCCCGCUCGCCGGAAGACCAAGGGUUCCUGUCCAACGUUAAUCGGGGCAGGGUGAGUCGACCCCUAAGGCGAGGCCGAAAGGCGUAGUCGAUGGGAAACGGGUUAAUAUUCCCGUACUUGGUGUUACUGCGAAGGGGGGACGGAGAAGGCUAUGUUGGCCGGGCGACGGUUGUCCCGGUUUAAGCGUGUAGGUGUGUGUUCCAGGUAAAUCCGGUUCACUUUAACACUGAGGCGUGACGACGAGGCACUACGGUGCUGAAGCAACAAAUGCCCUGCUUCCAGGAAAAGCCUCUAAGCAUCAGGUAACAUCAAAUCGUACCCCAAACCGAC